UACGGGGGGGGCAAGCGUUGUUCGGAAUUACUGGGCGUAAAGGGUGCGUAGGCGGUCUGUUAAGUUAGAUGUGAAAACUCUGGGCUCAACCCAGAGCCUGCAUCUAAAACUGGCAGGCUAGAGUUCUGGAGGGGGUAGCGGAAUUCCUGGUGUAGCGGUGAAAUGCGUAGAUAUCAGGAGGAACACCGAUGGCGAAGGCAGGUCUCUGGGCAUUAACUGACGCUGAGGAGCGAAAGCAUGGGGAGCGAACAGG
rnacentral:rRNA from 1 species